CCGGGCGGUGGGGCGCAGGACCGCCGCGGUGCUGCUGUCGCCGCGCGGCAACGCGGCGUUCGUGGCCGGGUGCUCGGC
rnacentral:tRNA from 1 species